rnacentral:sRNA from 1 species
GAUUUUGGCAUGUCUACAAGCGACGGAGACGGCGACGACGACUUUGAAAACAAAUUUGCGCAAAUCAGAGGGGAAAUGGCUUUCAGCCAAGUCAACAACCGAACCGAAGUAAACCGAACCGAACCGUCAACCGUCAACUGGCUGGAGUGCCAGCUCAGGGCUCUUGGAGCAUAUCAAGGGCGUCAUUAGUGCAGCAGGCAGCGUCAAUUUGACAACAGCAGAGGUGGUCUCCCACAGACCAAUAGAUCAAGAUCCAACGAGCGACCCGACUGCAGAUCUCGAUUGGGAAUGGGUGUGCAACUGAAGACACUGACAGAUUUAUUUAAUGUGAUGCCUUCAAAUUGCUGUAGUUCAAGGAGUGCCUUUCGCAGCCAGCUUCUAACUUAUCAAUUAAAGUUCGAGCCAGAUUGAAAUGGUUCUACAUGUGCCGCUGGAUAAUGAUGAUGACGAUGAUGAUAAUGAUGAUAGGGAUGGUGAUAAGUCGGUGCAAGCGACCAAUUUGGAUAACUGGAUCACACGAAAGAUAAAUAUACUUAUGACACAAACUAAUGAAUGGAAUAUAUAAACAACUCGAAAGAUAUAGAUUGUUGAAUGAGGUCAUCAGCCACCUACGUUCCAAGUUUGGUGAAUCUAAGUUAAGAAUUGUUGCAGAUAUGAGGUGUCUUCCCCGUCUUCCAGAGUUCCAGAAGGCAACUCCAAUUUGCAUAUGUAAUCCAAGAG